rnacentral:lncRNA from 1 species
GGGGUGGUUCAGUUGCUUCAAGAGGUCAAUCUCUUUAAUGCAAUCUUGCCUAGCCUUGGCAUCCAUCAUUUCAAAAAUGAACUUUCUUUAAUGCCACAGGUUUUCUGUCCAGAAGACAAGUUGCUUUGUAAACUUCACUGAACUGUCCUCGUCCGAUCUUCUUCUCUAUCUGAAAGUCUGCCAGUGUGCAGCGAUACGGGUAUGAUGUUAAAUGUCUCUGCGGGUCGUGCUGGAAGUCCUGGCCUGGCAGCUUGCAGAGCGCGCUGGUCUGGUCCCCCAGGUGCUGCGGGUGCUCGUGCUGCCCCUCCAUGCCCACAUGCCAAGCGCUGCCGGACCUGCGGGCUGGCGGCCGGCGCUGCCCCCGCUCCUCCGGGCGCGUCUGCGUCCGCGCGCGUGUUUUCCACGUCCCGCGAUGAGUCACCGCGCGGAGCUGCCCCGGAGCGAGGGAGCAUGAGCGGAGCCCUCCCACCGCCCUCCCGCGGCCGGCCUCCCCCGGAAAGGGCCGGCUUCCCGCACCCAGCGCGGCCGGGAGGCGGCGGGGAGGGCGCGGCGGGACCGAUCCGGGCCGGGCCCCCAACCCAGCGCGGCCCCGGGGCGGGGAGGGCCGCGGGUUGCGCGUCCGCUUAGCGCUGCGCCGGGUUUUGCACGAGUGGAGAAAAAGCGGAGAGCGAACGCGGCAGUCAAUAAAAGCGAAAGUGCAAGUCUGGUUUACUUGGCCCGACCGGGCGGAACCGCGGCUCCGGGCAGCAGCACCUGCGGGCCCCGUGGGCGGCGCGGCCGCGUUCAGUCCCAGUGGGUGCCGGCAGCCCCGCCGGCCGCACCGCCGCCUCUCCUCCUACAGCUCUGCGCCAAACGAGCGCGAAUUCAGGGCGUACAGAGCGGGCGACCGCGCACGGACCGCACAGCGCGAGGCUUCCGCUGCGUCCCGCGGUGCGGUGCUGCCGGAGCAGAUCCUCGCACAGCUCUCUCCCGCGGGGCAGAUGCCGCGCAGCUCCGCGGCGCUCCUCGCUGGAGACAGAGCAGGAGACACAACAGAUGGAAGCCGUGCGGCCACCUGGUUCUAAAGCAAAUCAUACCAUCAAUCUAUCGGUGUGAAAUCUGAAACAUGGGAAUGUGCUUGGAGAAACAACACGAAUUCCUUUUUUUCCCCCUCCCAACUCGAUUUCCCCGAGGUCUGUCGGAGCUCCGUUCCAAAAAUGCAUUUCUUUUUCUGAAAAACGGUGCCAGUGGAUGGAGGUGCACAAACCUGCGUGCUUUAUACCAAAACAAAACCCAAAGAAAGGAUCCUUCCUUCGGCUGCCAUGAGUUCCUCUUUCUAUUACAGAAAGCUGUUUAUAAAGAUCUGCCACGUUCCCGUGCACAGCUCCAAGAUCCAGGCCCUCGCUGCUAAAUUACACACACAGAAUUACUUUGGAUUAUCCACAACGACUCGGUUAAGAAAGAAAAUUACAUUUCCUCAAUGACGUCUUGUCAAAAAUAGGCUUUCCUUCAUACAAACUGCCCCAGUUCUCUCUGGGGCUCCGGGUGCUCAUGGGGCAGCCCUGCUGUCCCACCGACCGCUCUGCUCCCAGCGCUCAGACACGGAUGAGCACUGCAAACACAGUGCUGCCAACACAGCACUGCAAUCAUGGCACUGCACUGUGUGGCUGAGCGGAGCCGGUGGGGAAUGCCCUCACCCUGGUGGGUAUGAGGUUCCC